CAGCAUUUGUUCAAAACUAACACUCAUAUGUAACUAAGAAACGAUGUACAAAGGCUUUUCUCAACGUACAAGUGGUUUUGUAAGCAAUUUGUUACAGUCAAAUGGCCAGAAAGGACUGCACGUGUGUUACUGCUGCGACAACACAUCGACUUUGUGAAAAAUGGUCAACUGCAUCUCUAAACUGAUAUUAUUGUUCAGUUUUAGCUUCUAAAUACACUCCUAAAUUAAACCAAGAGGCGAGCAUGUCAUCUGUAUACAAAGCAACACCACAGAAGCCUAAUCUGUCAAGAGCAAGAGUCAAAUAUAUUUGUCAGAUAUAUAGUUCAUAUUGUGCAGUUAGCAAACAAAAAUAAAUGUUCCUAAAGGUAUGUAUAUCAGCUAUCCGUUCAUUUCUCCACUUUUCCCUGUUUCUAGUUUGAAACAUGGCACAACACAAUGAUGAAUCUCAUGUUUCAGUUUACACUGAGAUCUGAACCCAGUGUGUAUGCAUGAAUGUUUUGUAGGACAGUAGUGCACACAACAUAGAAAGGGACGCGGAAAGAGAAGGGUCGGGGCUAGUGGCGGCUCACCUCAGUUCGAUGGUGUGCUGAUCUCUUGCGCUGCGCUAGAGGGGGCGAGGCUGCGCUGGCACCACGGUCCUCUCCAUGGCCGAAUCUCGUUGAGGAGCAGCUCCACCGACACCGCCGGGGACGCAGCCGACCUCUUCCUUCCCGGCAGCCCCACUGCACCACGACGGCCGGCUUCUUCCUGUCCUCGUCGCCCGCUUUCCCUACUCCUUCACCCAACCAUCAGCCUCACCUAACCUACGCCUGAUCUGGAUCUAGGCACAUCCCAUGGACACCACACAACGAGGGGGAGGAAGGAGAGGUGGAGGGGCUAGCGUUGUGGAGAAGUAGUGAAGAGAAGGACGAGCGGCGCUUGAUCCGAGAAACGCCACCGUGGCCGCAAGAAACCAAAUGGAACGGGAGAGCGGCUAGCAAGAGUCCCACCCUCUGGACCGUGUGCCUCCCCUCGCCGCACCGCUUGCUGCCGCCCAACUCUCCCACCGGCCACGACGAAGUCCCACCGCCGGGCAAGUGCCGGUGCUGGGUCGCCU
rnacentral:lncRNA from 1 species